ACACUGCUGAGGAGUCCCAUAAUAGGACGAAACAGCCGUUUAGUGC
rnacentral:hammerhead_ribozyme from 1 species